rnacentral:rRNA from 1 species
UAGGGAAUAGUCGGCAAUGGACGAAAGUCUGACCGCGCGACGCCGCGUGAAGGAAGAAGGCCUUCGGGUUGUAAACUUCUUUUAUGAGGGAAGAUUAUGACGGUACCUCAUGAAUAAGGGGCUGCUAACUACGUGCCAGCAGCAGCGGUAAUACGUAGGCCCCGAGCGUUAUCCGGAAUUAUUGGGCGUAAAGUGCGCGUAGGUGUUUUAGUAAGUCAGUCAUUAAAUCUUACGGCUUAACCGUGAGCUCGUGAUUGAUACUAUUAGAAUUGAGUUAUGCAGGGGCAAGCAGAAUUCUUGGAGUAGAGGUGAAAUUCGUUGAUACCAAGAGGAAUACCAAUGGCGAAGGCAGCUUGCUGGGCAAUAACUGACACUGAGGCGCGAAAGCGUGGGGAGCAAACGGG